rnacentral:tRNA from 1 species
GGUAAGAUGGCCGAGUUUUAGGCGGUGGAUUGUAGACCCAUAAACAGAGGUUUGAGUCCUCUUCUUAUCA